rnacentral:misc_RNA from 1 species
AAGUCGUAACAAGGUCUCCGUUGGUGAACCAGCGGAGGGAUCAUUACUGAGUGUAAAAACUCCAAACCUUUGUGAACAUACCAAUGUUGCUUCGGCGCGCCGUUCUCGGCCGCCGGAGGUACCAAACUCUUGUCUUAUAGUGGAUUUCUGAGUCGCAUAAGCAAAUAAAUCAAAACUUUCAGCAACGGAUCUCUUGGUUCUG